UACGUAGGGUGCAAGCGUUGUCCGGAAUUAUUGGGCGUAAAGAGCUCGUAGGUGGCGGGUCACGUCGGGUGUGAAAGCCCGGGGCUUAACCCCGGGUCUGCAUUCGAUACGGGCCUGCUAGGGUCCGGCAGGGGAGACUGGAAUUCCUGGUGUAGCGGUGAAAUGCGCAGAUAUCAGGAAGAACACCUAUGGCGAAGGCAGCUCUCUGGGACGGUACUGACGCUGAGACGCGAAAGCGUGGGGAGCGAACAGG
rnacentral:rRNA from 1 species